AACGCACGAGACCUGCGGACCUGCGGAAGGAUCAUUAUAGAGUUUUUAACUCCCAAACCCAUGUGAACUUACCUUUGUUGCCUCGGCGGAGCCUACCCGGUACCUACCCUGUAGCGCCCCGCCGGUGGACUUCUAAACUAUUGUUAUUUUAAUGAUAUCUGAGAGUCUUAUUUUAAUAAGUCAAAACUUUCAACAACGGAUCUCU
rnacentral:misc_RNA from 1 species